GCUCAGGUAUGUCUUUAUUACCAGUGUUCUUGAGGAUACAAUCAACCAAGGUACACUUUAAAUUAAAGCAGAUAUAUGGAUAAAACAGGAAAAAUACAAGGAUAUUCAAUAUCAACAUUUCCAUUAAGAAUUGUACUGGGGCAUCUGGCCAACAGAAUUCAGAGCCCCAGCCUGUUCAUAAAAAAAAUCAGAUGAAUUUUGUCUGCGGAACAUUCUGCAAAAAUAUCUGACCAGUAAGUAAUCCUCUAAAUAGCCACAGCCAUCAACAGCAAGGAAAGUCUGAGAAAGUGUCACAGCCAAGAGGACCCUAUAAAGACAUGAUGACUAAAUGUAACAUGGUGUCUUCCAUGGGAUCCUGAAACAGAAAAAGGACAUUAGAGCUGGGGAUUGUGGUAUGUGCCUUUAGUCCUAGCUACUCCGGAGGCUGAGGCAGGAGGAUCACCUGAGCCCAGGACUUUGAGGCCGCUGUAAGCUAUGAUCAUGCCACUGCACUCCAGCUCAGGCAACAGUGAGACCCGGUCUCAACAAACAAAAGAAAAUAAAAGAAUGGUAGACAAGGCAAUAGGUAUUUUUAAAAGUGAGAGAAACUAUCAGAGAGCUGUAGCAGAAAAGCAAGUUAAAAAUAAAGGAAACAGAAAAGGAACUGAUACAGCUGAUUUGAUACUGGAAAAAUCACCCAGGAGGCAGCGUGGACAAUGGAUUGGAGAAGG
rnacentral:lncRNA from 10 species